AACGAACGCUGGCGGCAUGCCUAACACAUGCAAGUCGAACGAGGCCUUCGGGUCUAGUGGCGCACGGGUGCGUAACGCGUGGGAACCUGCCCUUAGGUUCGGAAUAACUCCCCGAAAGGGGUGCUAAUACCGGAUAAUGUCUUCGGACCAAAGGUUUAUCGCCUUUGGAUGGGCCCGCGUUGGAUUAGCUAGUUGGUAGGGUAAAAGCCUACCAAGGCGACGAUCCAUAGCUGGUCUGAGAGGAUGAUCAGCCACACUGGGACUGAGACACGGCCCAGACUCCUACGGGAGGCAGCAGUGGGGAAUAUUGGACAAUGGGCGAAAGCCUGAUCCAGCAAUGCCGCGUGAGUGAUGAAGGCCUUAGGGUUGUAAAGCUCUUUUACCCGGGAUGAUAAUGACAGUACCGGGAGAAUAAGCUCCGGCUAACUCCGUG
rnacentral:rRNA from 1 species